CCUACGGGGGGCUGCAGUAAGGAAUAUUGGUCAAUGGACGCAAGUCUGAACCAGCCAUGCCGCGUGGAGGAUGAAGGUCCUCGGGAUUGUAAACUUCUUUUAUUUGGGAAGAAACUCCCGAUUUCCAUCGGGAUUGACGGUACCAGAUGAAUAAGCACCGGCUAACUCCGUGCCAGCAGCCGCGGUAAUACGGAGGGUGCAAGCUUUAUCCGGUUUCACGGGUGCGAAGGUGUGCGGGUAAGGGAGGGUUGAAAUCUCCGGGCUUAACCCGGAAACUGCCAUUGAUACUAUUUGUCUUGAAUACUCAGGAGGUGAGCGGAAUAUGUCAUGUAGCGGUGAAAUGCUUAGAUAUGACAUAGAACACCCAUUGCGAAGGCAGCUCACUACGGAAAUAUUGACGCUGAGGCACGAAAGCGUGGGGAUCAAACAGGAUUAGAUACCCGUGUAGUC
rnacentral:rRNA from 1 species